ensembl:snRNA U6 U6 spliceosomal RNA
GUGCUCGCAUCAGCAGCACACACGCUAAAAUUGGAACGACACAGAGAAGAUUAGAUGGCUCCUGUGCAAGGAUGACAUGCAAAUUCGUGAAGUGUUUCCCAUUUUU